GGCCAAGGUCUGGAGAAAAGCAUUGAUUGGAAGAGAGAGAGAGAGAGAGAGAGAGAGAGAGAGAGAGAGAGAAUCUAACUUCAAAAAUAUUUCAGUCUUUGGGGGUCUGGUUUUGAAGACCAGACGACUCCAUUCCCUCCCCUUUCCUCUUCUCUCUUAGCUGAGUCAGAAGACUUGUAUCUCUGGAAUUUGGGAUUAUUUGACCAGAAUCCUAUUGACAUAAACAGAUUUCUCUGUCUAGGACCCUCCAGAGAGAUCUCUUUACCCCUAGUUCCCUGAACCUUCAACUCCAUAUUUUAGGGAACAGAACCCAGUGGAAUCCCCAUCCUGCUAUGGAGGAAUGUCCACUCAAUUGGUCCAUCCCCCCCCCCACACCACCCAUGGCCCACAUUGAGGGAGGAUUGGACAAGCUGCUCAAUUGUCAAGGUGAAACAGUUAGAGCAGAGGCUGGAGUGGAGAGGACCGCGUGGCAGGGAUAGCCCAGUGCUGUCUGAAUUUGAAUUCCAGGAUGUGAAUACAGGCCCCUUGAUCUUCCAGCUCACCCAUUUCCCCUCUCCCCUGUGCCAAAGCUUCUUCAUACCCCUGCAUACACACACACACACACACACACACACACACACACACACACACACACACACAGUGUCUUUGGUCUUUCAACAUCUUCCAGCCUAGCCCUCCUGUGACAGCUCAGCUGCCAGGAUCUUCACACUCCCCCCUGUCCUGUUUACCAUUCCACUGCCAGGUGCUGGGUGCUGGACACAGGGACACGUGAAGAUGAGAAAGAGCCCCACUGCCUCCUCUCCAUCAGAAAAAGCCAUAGCCCUAGGAGGAGAAGGGGCUGAUUCUUUGUGUGGGCCCAGUCCAGAGCUGAAGAGGAAAGGUGAAUGAAUUGGUCUUUCUCCCAUUGGGUUUCUAGAACCUAUGAACCCAUUUUAUUUGGAGCCAAUAUUUCCUAUGUGCAUAGUCCUCCCUAUCAAUUGACGAGUCCUCAUUCUUCUCCUCUUCACCCCCCCUUCCCCUUCCCUGGCACCUGCCCUCCUAGCCCAGCCCUCCACAGAAGUUUCACUACCCCAAAGCAGGUCAGUGAAGAGCUUUUCCAGACUAUUGGGGGGAAGAGAUGAGGAGGAGAGAGCAAAGAAUGGGGAGAAGAGUUGUGAGAGAAAAAAAAGUCAUUCUAGCUUCAAUAUUUUUCUCCUUUUUUUUUUAUUAUGGACUCACGUAUACAAUACAAAGUACUUGGACCAGGAACAGGCUGUCGGGACACAAAAUCUACAUUCAUAGCUGGACAUAAGACAAAUGACCAAAAAUUAUUAUAUAGAUAUAUUUUAACGUUUUUUUUCUUUCGAGCACAU